rnacentral:rRNA from 1 species
GGCGGAUGCCUUGGCUCUCGGAGGCGAUGAAGGACGUGAUAAGCUGCGAUAAGCUCCGGGGAGGUGCAAAUAACCUUUGAUCCGGGGAUUUCCGAAUGGGACAACCCGGCGUGUUGAAGACACGCCACCUGAUCAUUUCAGGAGCUAACGCAGGGAACUGAAACAUCUUAGUACCUGCAGGAAAAGAAAAUAACAAUGAUUCCCCCAGUAGUGGCGAGCGAACGGGGAAUAGCCCAAACCGUUCAUGUUACGGCAUGAUCGGGGUUGUAGGACUACGUCGUUGCAUGAAGACAUCGGAGAAGAACUUUCUGGAAAGAAAGACCAUAGAGCAUGACAGUUGCGUAUUCGUAUGUUGUCGAAGCAUAGUAGUAUCCUGAGUAGCGCGGAGCACGAGGAAUUCUGCGUGAAUCUGCCGGGACCAUCCGGUAAGGCUAAAUACUCCCGAGAGACCGAUAGCGAACCAGUACCGUGAGGGAAAGGUGAAAAGCACUUCGAACAGAAGAGUGAAAUAGUUCCUGAAACCGUGCGCCUACAAGCGGUCGGAGCUCGUUAAUGAGUGACGGCGUGCCUUUUGCAUAAUGAACCUACGAGUUGCCUUUGCCGGCAAGGUUAAGUGUGACGACACACGUAUCCGAAGCGAAAGCGAGUCUGAACAGGGCGUAUAGUCGGCAGUGGCAGACGCGAAACCAAGUGAUCUACCCUUGGCCAGGUUGAAGGCUGGGUAACACCAGCUGGAGGACCGCACCAAUAAGCGUUGAAAAGCUUCUGGAUGAGCUGAGGGUAGGGGUGAAAGGCUAAUCAAACUUGGAGAUAGCUCGUACUCCCCGAAAUGCAUUUAGGUGCAGCCUUGACUUAUACUGACGUGAGGUAGAGCGACUGAUAAGAUGCGAGGGCUUCACCGCCUAUCAAGUCUUGACAAACUCCGAAUGCGCGUCAGUUUUAUGUCAGGAGUGAGGGCAUGGGUGCUAAGGUCCAUGUCCGAGAGGAGAACAAUCCGGACCAACAGCUAAGGUCCCGAAAUGAAUACUAAGUUGAACUAACGAAGUCAGAUUGCUAAGACAGCUAGGAUGUUGGCUUGGAAGCAGCCAUUCAUUUAAAGAGUGCGUAACAGCUCACUAGUCGAGGAGUCGGGCGUGGAUAAUAAUCGGGUAUGAAGUUGUCUACCGAAGCAGUGGGAUCAUUAAUAUGAUCGGUAGGGGAGCAUUCCAGUCGGCGUCGAAGGCGUACCGCGAGGUAUUCUGGAGCGUCUGGAAAAGCAAAUGUAGGUAUAAGUAACGAUAAAGGGGGCGGGAAACCCCCUCGCCGAAAGACUAAGGUUUCCUGAUCAACGCUAAUCGGAUCAGGGUAAGUCGGGUCCUAAGGCUCAGCCGAAGGGCGAUGCCGAUGGCAGAAACGGUUAAUAUUCCGUUACUACCUCCAGGAGUGAUGUGGAGACGCAGUAGUGACAAUGCCGCCAUCUGACGGAAUAGAUGGUUGAAGGGUGUAGAUGUUGAUCUUGGCAGGCAAAUCCACCAUGAGAAUCGAACCUGAUAGUAUGCCGCGUCCCUCGGGACAAGGCAAUAGUGCAUGUAAUCAUGCUGCCAAGAAAAUCCGCUAAACUAAAUCCUGUAGGUACCCGUACCGUAAACGGACACACGUAGUCGGGAUGAAUAUUCUAAGGCGCUUGAGUGAUUCACGGUUAAGGAACUAGGCAAACUGACCCUGUAACUUCGGGAUAAAGGGUCCCUACCCGGUGACGGGAGGGCGCAGAGAAUAGGUCCAGGCAACUGUUUAACAAAAACACAGGGCUGUGCGAAAUCGAAAGAUCCUGUAUACAGCCUGACACCUGCCCGGUGCUGGAAGGUUAAGAGGAGACGUCAUCGUUGAGAGAAGCGUUGAAUUGAAGCCCCAGUAAACGGCGGCCGUAACUAUAACGGUCCUAAGGUAGCGAAAUUCCUUGUC